rnacentral:rRNA from 1 species
GGUAACGCCGGACCAGGAGCGCCUGGAGUACGGGUGGGACAAGCGUGGUCCUGAUUGAGUGGGCGUAGAGAGCGCGGAGGCGGCCAGACAGGUCCGCUGUGAAAACUCGAGGCUCAACCUCGAGAUGUCGGUGGAAACCGUCUGGCUAGAGUCCGGAAGAGGAGAGUGGAAUUCCCGGUGUAGCGGUGAAAUGCGCAGAUAUCGGGAAGAACACCCGUGGCGAAGGCGGCUCUCUGGGACGGUACUGACGCUGAGACGCGAAAGCGUGGGGAGCGAACAGGAUUAGAUACCCGAGUAGUC